GAGUUUGAUCCUGGCUCAGAAUCAACGCUGGCGGCGUGCCUAACACGUGCAAGUCGAACGAGAAAGGGUAGCAAUACCUGAGUAAAGUGGCGCACGGGUGAGUAACACGUGACUAACCUACCCUGGAGUGGGGGAUAACUGAGGGAAACCUUAGCUAAUACCGCAUAAUACCUACGGGUCAAAGGAGCAAUUCGCUUUGGGAGGGGGUCGCGGCCGAUUAGUUAGUUGGCGGGGUAAUGGCCCACCAAGACAGUGAUCGGUAUCCGGCCUGAGAGGGCGCACGGACACACUGGAACUGAAACACGGUCCAGACUCCUACGGGAGGCAGCAGUGGGGAAUUUUGCGCAAUGGGGGAAACCCUGACGCAGCAACGCCGCGUGGAGGAUGAAGUACUUCGGUACGUAAACUCCUUUCGAUCGGGACGAUAAUGACGGUACCGGAAGAAGAAGCCCCGGCUAACUUCGUGCCAGCAGCCGCGGUAAUACGAGGGGGGCAAGCGUUGUUCGGAAUUAUUGGGCGUAAAGGGUGCGUAGGCGGUUUGGUAAGUCUUAUGUGAAAUCUCCGGGCUCAACUCGGAGUCUGCAUGGGAAACUGCCGGGCUUGAGUGUGGGAGAGGUGAGUGGAAUUUCCGGUGUAGCGGUGAAAUGCGUAGAUAUCGGAAGGAACACCUGUGGCGAAAGCGGCUCACUGGACCACAACUGACGCUGAUGCACGAAAGCUAGGGGAGCAAACAGGAUUAGAUACCCUGGU
rnacentral:rRNA from 1 species